rnacentral:rRNA from 1 species
AUUGAACGCUGGCGGCAGGCCUAACACAUGCGAGUCGAGCGGAUGAAGGGAGCUUGCUCCUGGAUUCAGCGGCGGACGGGUGAGUAAUGCCUAGGAAUCUGCCUGGUAGUGGGGGAUAACGUCCGGAAACGGGCGCUAAUACCGCAUACGUCCUGAGGGAGAAAGUGGGGGAUCUUCGGACCUCACGCUAUCAGAUGAGCCUAGGUCGGAUUAGCUAGUUGGUGGGGUAAAGGCCUACCAAGGCGACGAUCCGUAACUGGUCUGAGAGGAUGAUCAGUCACACUGGAACUGAGACGCGGUCCAGACUCCUACGGGAGGCAGCAGUGGGGAAUAUUGGACAAUGGGCGAAAGCCUGAUCCAGCCAUGCCGCGUAUGUGAAGAAGGUCUUCGGAUUGUAAAGCACUUUAAGUUGGGAGGAAGGGCAGUAAGUUAAUACCUUGCUGUUUUGACGUUACCAACAGAAUAAGCACCGGCUAACUUCGUG